CACUUCAGAAUCCGCUAAUAUUUUACAGUCAUGUCUUCAGCAGUUCUUUGCCUUCUUUUAUCAGUAAUUCAUCUCCUUCCUGUAGUCAUCUGCCAACAUGGUGACGCCCGGAUCCAGGAGAGGCCUUUCGUGGUGCUUAAGCAUCAGAACCUAGCUCUCCUGGUCAGUGUGCUCAGUGUGCUGCUGGUGGUGUUGAUCUUGAUGGCCAUUUGUGUGUACAGACCUCUACACCGGCGAUAGCGGAAAUGAGCAUGAGGACUCAGCUAGGCAAGGAAGUGGGUGCCCACGUCCCAUGCUCUGCACCACCAGGUCCACCUCUACUACCUCUUUAAUUUACCCUACAUAUUGGUACUGUCCUGUUUAUUUUCCAUUUUCACUGUCUUCUACAAGCCAUCUCAUUCAAAGAUUAAGUCUUAUUUAGGCUUUAUUGACAAAGCAUCAGGAAUGGCCUGUUCUUCCCAAACUAUUCAGACAAGAAAUAUAAAAGAAAAAUGCAAUUAUUCCUGAGCAGCUGGCUUGUAUUAAGUGACUAAUUACCAGUAUUAUGAGAAGGACCCUAAGUAACUGUUUGCUGUACUGUACUAUUUGUUUGUUUAUGAAAGAAUAAUACAUGUAGAGGGAAUUUAGAAGUUGUUACAUUUUAAAUGAUAACUCUGAAAAUUCCCAGAGCAUUUGAGCAUAGCAUAAGGUGGUCCCCAUAAUAAUACCAUAAUACAGGUUUUUCUGUAAGUCUGUAAGAAUACAUGAUUAGAAAUUCUUUGGCAAGUUCCCCACUAGUUUUGUGUUUAUGUCAAGCACUAUAAAGAUGUAUGUUUUUGGAUGAAAGCAUAAAUCGUAGAUGUGGGAAUGAAAAUGUUACCUACAAAAAUGUUGCAUUUCUUAUUGUCACUUUUUGAAAGAUGUAUUUCUUUGCAGGUCAGUGUACUGAAAUAUUGCCAAUCCCCCCCCCACCACCCUUUUAGUACCUUUCUUGGGAAAUAAC